CUGGGAUUCAAAGUCACAUGUGUGAGCACAGCAUUUCUAGGCAGCCCGUUUCCACAGCCCUGCUGCCCAUGCCUUUUGUUUUAGAAGACCGGUCUCUGCAGCUCACUGCUGCUGGAAGGAAAACUCACAUGAUCACAUUUUGUGUACACAUGCAUCCACAUGCAUAGUGAAACCAGACGUUCCAAGGCUCACAGGAGCGAGAUCCCAACAAGGGUCAGCCAUGCUUCUGGAAGCCCCUGCUCCUGGCUGCCAACUCUGCAUCAUAAGGUAUCAUAAGGACUUUCAUGAUGGGGAACACGUUGUUUCCAACAUCCUCCGGAUCUCACUUCAAGCCCGGCAUGUGCUACCAGGAGCCACAGAAACAAAAGACCCGGGUUCAAGUUACAGCUCCAGUUCCUACUAGCUGAGUGACCAUGGCAAUUUAGUCAGCCUCUGUCUGCAUGAAUUUCCCCAUGUAUAAAGUGAGAUCAUUGACAGCCUUCUCAGAACAUGGUCACGAGGAUAAAAUGGGUAAUGUUUGUACAGCUCAUAGCCCCGAGGCUGGUGCCUGGUGUGCAGUAACCACCAUCUUCCCAUCUUCCUCUUCCUCCGUGGGGGCAGCAGUUUUCCAGCUGUGCUUCACGGAAACCACAAUUGCAUCUGGUUUACUUGCUGGCAAUCACAGGGUAUCUGCAAAAGAAACUAGGCUUCCACAUGUUAGUGAAAGUAGUAGAAUUUUCAUCUUUUAAGCAUCUGUGGAGACAUUAUUUAUGAAUCCAAUUUCUGUUUUUAUUCUAUCUGCAAAUUACAUUCUUAUCAUCAUCCUGUAGAGGCAAAUUUAUUCCCAAACAUAAUCACAGAUUACCAAAAAUAAAAAAGUAUAAGUAUUGUCAUCCAUGGAUAGGGAG
rnacentral:lncRNA from 1 species